rnacentral:rRNA from 1 species
AUUGAACGCUGGCGGCAGGCCUAACACAUGCAAGUCGAACGAGUGGCGGACGGGUGAGUAAUGUUGGGGAAUCUGGCUUAUGGCGGGGGAUAACGACGGGAAACUGUCCCUAAUACCGCGUACCAUCGGCUGAGCCCAGGUGGGAUUAGGUAGUUGGUGGGGUAAUGGCUUACCAAGGCGACGAUCUAUAGCGGGUCUGAGAGGAUGACCGGCCACACCGGAACUGAGAGACGGCCCAGACUCCUACGGGAGGCAGCAGUGGGGAAUAUUGCGCAAUGGGCGAAAGCUGACGCAGCCAUGCCGCGUGAGUGAAGAAGGCCUUCGGGUUGUAAAGCUCUUUCAGUAGUGAAGCGUUACAUACAGAAGAAGCACCGGCUAACUCCGUGCCAGCAGCCGCGGUAAUUC